CUGCAGCCGGGUUGCAUACCUUUAACCCCCAGCAGAAAUACUGCACCUGGUCCCACCCUGCAGAGCAGCUUGCUCUUGGCACAGCUGCAGACUGGCAGGGUGGACUAACCAGCUGUCAGCUCGUACUGUAAGCAAAGCUUACAAACUGGCAAGACUCUAAAAAUAGGAAGGGGAACAGAGCCCUUCUGCUUCAGGGCAGCGGAACACAGUCCCAAGACUUCUGCUAUUCAUCCCUUCUGCAACGUGUCACAACACGACGACCUCCACAGCACUGUUUGGUCAGAUUUUGUGACAAGUGAUAGAAUCAUAGAAUAACCCAAGUUGGAAGGGACUCACAAAAACCAAGUCAGUCAUCUUAUGGAAACCGUCCUCAGCGGCCCACAUCAAGAACACUCCUGCAUCCUUCAGAAAGCUGCUCCACACUCCCACCUAUCUAUCCCUUGGGGUUUUGGCUGCACGGAGAUGCAAACAGGAUGUCCAUCAACAACUCUCACCCAACCUCAGCGUUCCCACUGAGGCACUGCAGCCAGCAGGUACUAACAGAGAUACUGAAGGAGCUGUUACCAUACUGCCUUCAAAAAUUGCCCAAAGAGCCCCCAA
rnacentral:lncRNA from 1 species